UACAGAGGUCUCAAGCGUUGUUCGGAUUCAUUGGGCGUAAAGGGUGCGUAGGCGGCGCGGUAAGUCGGGUGUGAAAUCUCGGAGCUUAACUCCGAAACUGCAUUCGAUACUGCCGUGCUUGAGGACUGGAGAGGAGACUGGAAUUUACGGUGUAGCAGUGAAAUGCGUAGAGAUCGUAAGGAAGACCAGUGGCGAAGGCGAGUUUCUGGACAGUUACUGACGCUGAGGCACGAAGGCCAGGGGAGCAAACGGG
rnacentral:rRNA from 1 species